GGUCGCAUAGCUCAGCGGGAGAGCACUUCCUUCACACGGAAGGGGUCGCCGGUUCAAUCCCGGCUGCGACCA
rnacentral:tRNA from 1 species